rnacentral:rRNA from 1 species
UUUAAAUGUAAAAUAAAUAUACUAAAGUAGUAUUAGUUAUGUUCUUGAAAUUUAAAGAUUUUGGCGGUAUUUUAGUCUAUUUAGAGGAGCCUGUUCUAUGAUUGAUAAUCCACGAUUUAUUUUACUUAAUUUAAAUAAAUUUGUAUACCGUCGUUAUUAGAAGAUUUUAAAAGAAGAUAAAUUUUUAAUAUUUUAAAUAAAAAAAUAUAUCAGAUCAAGGUGCAGUUUAUAAUUAAGAAGAAAUGGGCUACAAUAAAUUUAUUUAAUUAAAACGGAUUGAAGUAAGAAUUUGACUUUAUGAAGGUGGAUUUAAUAGUAAUAAAAUUAAUUUAAAUUUUGUGAUUUUAGCUCUAAAAUAUG